rnacentral:piRNA from 1 species
UGGCACUCGGCAUGUUUUCCUUUGCCUUGC